rnacentral:rRNA from 1 species
AAAACUUUCAACAACGGAUCUCUUGGUUCUGGCAUCGAUGAAGAACGCAGCGAAAUGCGAUAAGUAAUGUGAAUUGCAGAAUUCAGUGAAUCAUCGAAUCUUUGAACGCACAUUGCGCCCCUUGGUAUUCCGGGGGGGCAUGCCUGUUCGAGCGUCAUUAU